CAACAAGGAUGUUAUUUUCAUCUUUUUUAAAAGGAAGGAUAUGAUUAUACCCAAAUAGAAAAUCGUAUCUCUGUAAGAGAAAAGGAAAACUGUUACCGAUUUGCAGAUAUCAUGCGUGCUUUAUACGUUUUCGUCAUAUGGUUUGCUUUACAGUACAAUAGAGAAAAUGUGAUGUGUCAAGUCCAAAGAUACACAUGGUUUGAUGCGCAGGAAAUAUGCAGAAUGAACAACAGCGUACUUAUCAAAAAAGCAAUGCACAAUUCAUCAGAAUCUUUCUGGAUUGGACAUUAUCGACGGAAGUCGACCUGGAUAAAAAUU